rnacentral:ncRNA from 1 species
ACGGACGAUGCCGAAAAUCCGAAACAGAGUAGGCA